UGCCCAGUGAGCAUCAAGGCGGGGGGGGGGUCUUGGUUUGUAUAUAAAACCAGCAUAGGCUGGGGACACUGCCGCAGAAUGUUUAGAAGGCCGAUGUUUUAAAUUUGGUUAAGGACGGAAGCUGUUGAAAACAACCAUGUCUGGAAAGCAACCAUGUUUUAAGGGCUUCACUCAACAAGCUGAAGGGACUGUGCAGGAUGCUGUAAACAAGGUGGGACAGGCCACGCAGCAAGUUGUGGACCAAGCUACCCAGGCGGGUCAGAAAGCUGUGGACCAAGUGUACAAGGCAGCUCAAGAUGGUGUGACCGACCUUGAGAAAAAAAUUGGACUCAAGAAAUGAUGGCCAUCGUGAUAUUGAAAUCAGACCAAAGAACGUUUGGCAUCCUCAGAUUCACACUUCCCUCUUCCAUUCUGUCAUAAUCCUUAUCCUUACGGAAAGCAUGAAAUAUAUUCUCUCCACCCCUCCUUUUCUGAUUUGUAGAUUUGCAGUCCAAAGAAAAGAAAGAAAAGGAUCAUAUCGCCACCUUCCUUCAGAAGGAAAAACGUGCCAGAUUUGGACAACUGAAUUGUCUAACUACCUAGACCGAGGCAUUUUGGCACCUGUGAUUGUCAUAUGGCAUGAAAAAAGAGGGCUGCCCCCUCGAUAAGAUUUUUAUAUCCCCUGCCAGUCUCACGCCUCAUUCUUGUAAAGACAAGACAUCAUACUACCACCAGUAUAUCAGGAGUCAUACCAAGGAUGGAAUUAACUCACCUUUUGUCUUUUGUCUCAAAAAAUAGCUGUCAACUGGCUGCCCCUGGGCCAAAUUAAGCAGUAUGUUUAUGACCCUCCUAAUUUCCAAUCCUAGAGGCGAAAGAGGAAUGGAAAUGAGCAGCAUCAGUGACAGAGGGAUUUUGGCAGGAAGCCAUUUCAGUAGAUAAGUUGUGAAGCUUUGUCCUGUGCUUCUACUCUCUUGUUAAAGUGGCCCCUCUGGCAACACUAGUUGUUGACCCAGGAGAGAAGGGUUUUAUUUUUCAAAGUUAUUCAUGUUGACUUUCCCUGUCCAAAAAAUUGUUAGGCUCCAGGAGCCUGCCAUGUAGUGCAUUUCUUGGAAUGUUUCCCAUUGCAAGAAAAUGUGGGUUGGCAAUACAGCACUGCACUGUUAGCCCUCCACCCUAUAGGACCACAAAUAAACUACAAUUUGCCAUCGCUACUGAACAAAUAACAAUCAAUGCGCAACUUUGCUUGUCUUCCUGAGAUCUGAACAACUGCACUGUGCAUAGCCAACCUGCACCUUGUGUGCACUUCUGCACAUAAUGUCUUUUACCAUUAAACCUGUGAAGGUUUUCUGGUGGAUGUAUUUUGAAAUAGAUCAACUCCUUUCUUGGUCUUUAUCUGAGAAAUGGGCUUCAUCUAUAUAUAGUUUAAAACACAGUAGGUGGAAUGGUUUCUAAUGCUGUGUUAGUUUGCUCCACCACGGAGUUAGAGGUGUGCAGCCUGACAGUGCAACACUGCAUUGUGAGUUCUCCAUGCAGGAUCAAACAAUUGGAGGAACUACCAUCAUUUCUGAUACGCAUUAUCACGAAUGCGCAGAAAAACCCAUUGCCAUCUGGGAUCAGUUUUUGAGAUCUCAACAAUUGUACUGUGCGCUUCCAGGCUGCACUAUUUUUAGUUGAAACAGGCUGCUUUCUUUAGCAGAGUAGUCUGUAAUUGUAUUGAAAACUCUGCAGUGAUGCAAUGUUAAGGCAGUCAUAAGAAUGGCUCUUAAGGCAGUCAAUGGCAACUUUUGCAAAACUGUAAAGUUUAUUGAGGAGGGUGCAGGAUAGCAAUGGAACACUGUGUUGUUCGCUCUCUUCCAAGCAAACACAAU